rnacentral:rRNA from 1 species
CCUACGGGUGGCAGCAGUGGGGAAUAUUGCACAAUGGGCGCAAGCCUGACCCAGCAACGCCGCGUGAAGGAAGAAGGCUUUCGGGUUGUAAACUUCUUUUGUCAGGGACGAAACAAGUGACGGUACCUGACUAAUAAGCCACGGCUAACUACGUGCCAGCAGCCGCGGUAAUACGUAGGUGGCAAGCGUUAUCCGGAUUUACUGGGUGUAAAGGGCGUGUAGGCGGGAGUGCAAGCGAGAUGUGAAAACGAUGGGCUGAACCUGUGGCCUGCAUUUGAAACUGUCGAUCUAGAGUACUGGAGAGGCAAGCGGAAUUCCUAGUGUAGCGGUGAAAUGCGUAGAUAUUAGGAGGAACACCAGUGGCGAAGGCGGUCUGCUGGACAGCAACUGACGCUGAGGCGCGAAAGCGUGGGGAGCAAACAGGAUUAGAUACCCUAGUAGUC